AUGGCUCAGGACGAACGCUGGCGGCGUGCCUAACACAUGCAAGUCGAGCGGGGACAUACGACGGAACCAAAGUUUCGGAUGGAGGUGAAGAUGUAUGUUCUAGCGGCGGACGGGUGAGUAACGCGUGAGCAAACCUGUCCCUCACAGGGGGAUAACACAGCGAAAGUUGUACUAAUACCGCAUGAGACCACGAUAAGACAUCUUACAGGGGUCAAAGGAGCAAUCCGGUGAGGGGUGGGCUCGCGUCCGAUUAGAUAGUUGGUGAGGUAACGGCCCACCAAGUCGACGAUCGGUAGCCGACCUGAGAGGGUGAUCGGCCACAUUGGGACUGAGACACGGCCCAAACUCCUACGGGAGGCAGCAGUGGGGAAUAUUGGGCAAAGUGGGGGGAACCCUGACCCAGCAACGCCGCGUGAGGGAAGAAGGUUUUCGGAUCGUAAACCUCUGUCCUUGGUGAAGAGGAAGAGACGGUAGCCAAGGAGGAAGCCCCGGCUAACUACGUGCCAGCCGCCGC
rnacentral:rRNA from 1 species